rnacentral:rRNA from 1 species
GGAUCAUUACAGAGUUUUAUAACUCCCAACCCUUUGUGAACUUACCUUUGUUGCCUCGGCGGGGCCUACCCGGUACCGAUCCCUUUUGGGAGAAGUUACCCUGUAGCCCGCCGGUGGACAUAUUAACUCUUGUUAUUUUUAAUGUUAUCUGAGCGUCUUAUUUUAAUAAGUCAAAACUUUCAACAACGGAUCUCUUGGUUCUGGCAUCGAUGAAGAACGCAGCGAAAUGCGAUAAGUAAUGUGAAUUGCAGAAUUCAGUGAAUCAUCGAAUCUUUGAACGCACAUUGCGCCCAUUAGUAUUCUAGUGGGCAUGCCUGUUCGAGCGUCAUUUCAACCCUUAAGCCUAGCUUAGUGUUGGGAGUCUACAUAGCGCAAGCUGGUAGUUCCCGAAAUCAAACGGCGGAUCUGCAGUAUCCUCUGAGCGUAGUAAAUUUUUAUCUCGCUUUUGUAAGGUGCUGUGGCUCUUGCCGCUAAACCCCCAAUUUUUUAAUGGUUGACCUC